UGCAAGUCGAGCGAAUGGAUUAGAGAGCUUGCUCUCAUGAAGUUAGCGGCGGACGGGUGAGUAACACGUGGGUAACCUGCCCAUAAGACUGGGAUAACUCCGGGAAACCGGGGCUAAAACCGGAUAACAUUUUGAACUGCAUGGUUCGAAAUUGAAAGGCGGCUUCGGCUGUCACUUAUGGAUGGACCCGCGUCGCAUUAGCUAGUUGGUGAGGUAACGGCUCACCAAGGCAACGAUGCGUAGCCGACCUGAGAGGGUGAUCGGCCACACUGGGACUGAGACACGGCCCAGACUCCUACGGGAGGCAGCAGUAGGGAAUCUUCCGCAAUGGACGAAAGUCUGACGGAGCAACGCCGCGUGAGUGAUGAAGGCUUUCGGGUCGUAAAACUCUGUUGUUAGGGAAGAACAAGUGCUAGUUGAAUAAGCUGGCACCUUGACGGUACCUAACCAGAAAGCCACGGCUAACUACGUGCCAGCAGCCGCGGUAAUACGUAGGUGGCAAGCGUUAUCCGGAAUUAUUGGGCGUAAAGCGCGCGCAGGUGGUUUCUUAAGUCUGAUGUGAAAGCCCACGGCUCAACCGUGGAGGGUCAUUGGAAACUGGGAGACUUGAGUGCAGAAGAGGAAAGUGGAAUUCCAUGUGUAGCGGUGAAAUGCGUAGAGAUAUGGAGGAACACCAGUGGCGAAGGCGACUUUCUGGUCUGUAACUGACACUGAGGCGCG
rnacentral:rRNA from 1 species